UCCAAAUAUAGAGCUAAUUUGGAGAUUACACUAUCGCUCGAGAUACCUCUUGCCUUCCGUUAAUGGUAAUUUGUGAGGACCAAUGAUAUUUUUUGCACGAUGACGAUUAACGAUAAUUUUAGGUUGCCCGACCACGCCAAUCAAGGGUAAUCAACGUCAGGAUGACGGUGGAAGGAUCGCAGCCACUGUGGAGGAGGCCCUAGCGAGUCUCACGACAGAGAUGACUCACCUGUAGACAAGCGAACACGGAGAUAAUUGUAAAAAAAAAAAGCGAAAAAAGAGCGA